rnacentral:rRNA from 1 species
AUUGAACGCUGGCGGCAGGCUUAACACAUGCAAGUCGAGCGGGGGAGGUUGCUUCGGUAACUGACCUAGCGGCGGACGGGUGAGUAAUGCUUAAGAAUCUGCCUAAUAGUGGGGGACAACAUUCCGAAAGGGAUGCUAAUACCGCAUACGCCCUACGGGGGAAAGCAGGGGAUCUUCGGACCUUGCGCUAAUAGAUGAGCCUAAGUCGGAUUAGCUAGUUGGUGGGGUAAAGGCCUACCAAGGCGAAGAUCUGUAGCGGGUCUGAGAGGAUGAUCCGCCACAAUGGGACUGAGACACGGCCCAGACUCCUACGGGAGGCAGCAGUGGGGAAUAUUGGACAAUGGGCGGAAGCCUGAUCCAGCCAUGCCGCGUGUGUGAAGAAGGCCUUUUGGUUGUAAAGCACUUUAAGCGAGGAGGAGGCUACUAGUACUAAUACUACUGGAUAGUGGACGUUACUCGCAGAAUAAGCACCGGCUAACUCUGUGCCAGCAGCCGCGGUAAGAC